ensembl:lncRNA collagen alpha-2(I) chain-like
AGAUGGUGGCACCUUGGGGACGGGAGGGGACAGCACUGAGCCGGGAGGGGACAGCGGGGACACGGGAGGGGACGGCGACGGCACUGGGGGUGGCACCGUGGGGACGGGAGGGGACACCAGCGACAUGGGAGAGGUCAGCGGUGACACGAGGGGGGACGGCGGUGACACAGAGGAUGUCCCCAGUGGCGCUGGAGAUGCCACCACUGAGCUGGGACAGGUCACAAGUGGCACGAGAGGGGACAUUGGUGGCACUGGAGAUGGCCCCAUGGGGACGAGAGGUGCCGCCACCCACCCGGGAGGUGACACCGGUGACACGAGAGGGGACAUCGAUGGCGCUGGAGAUGCCACCGUGGGGACGGGAGGUGCCACCACCCAGCCAGGACAGGUCAGCAGUGACACGAGGGGUGACGCCGGUGACACUGGAGAUGCCACCGCUGAUGCGGGACAGGCCGCCGGUGACACGAGAGGGGACAUCGGUGACACCAGAGGUGACGCCGGUGACACAAAGGACCUCUCCAAUGGCGCUGGAGAUGCCACCAUGGGGACAGGAGAUGCCAACACUGACCCAGGGCAGGACACCAGUGACACGAGAGGUGACACCGGUGACACAGAGGAUGUCCCCAGUGGCGCUGGAGAUGCCACCACUGAGCUGGGACAGGUCACAAGUGGCACGAGAGGGGACACCAGUGACACGAGAGGGGACAUCGAUGGCACUGGAGGUGGCCCCAUGGGGACAGGAGGUGCCACCACCCAGCCAGGGCAGGUCGGCAGUGACACGAGGGGUGACACCGGUGACACCAGAGGUGACAUCCACCACCCAAAGGGCGUCCCCAGUGGCACUGGAGAUGGCCCCGUGGGGACAGGAGGUGCCACCACCGGCAUGGGACAGAACACCGGUGACACGAGAGGGGACGCCGGUGACACGGGGGACGUCCCCUUUAGCUCUGGAGGUGGCCCCGCGGGGACAGGAGAUGCCACCGCUGACCCAGGGCAGGACACCAGUGGCACGAGAGGUGACACCGGUGACACAGACGAUGUCCCCAGUGGCGCUGGAGAUGCCACCACUGAGCUGGGACAGGUCAGCGGUGACACAAGAGGGGACAGUGGUGGCACGAGAGGGGACACCGGUGGCACUGGAGAUGCCACCAUGGGGACAGGAGGUGCCACCACCGACCUGGGACAGAACACCGGUGACACGAGAGGGGACGUCCAUGACACGAGAGGGGACGCCGAUGACACGAGAGGUGACAUCAGUGACACGAGAGGUGACACAGGGGACGUCCCCUUUAGCUCUGGAGGUGGCCCCGUGGGGACAGGAGAUGCCACCGCUGACCCAGGACAGGCCACCGCCACCGGGGGAAGAGGUGACAGCGGUGACACAAAGGAGGCCACCACCCGGACGGGACAGAGCGACGGUGACACGGGAGGUGACACCGGUGACAGAAGAGGUGACACUGGUGACCCAGGAGGUGACACCCAUGACAUGGGAGGUGACACUGGUGACCCAGGAAGUGACACCGGUGACAGAAGAGGUGACACCGGUGACCCAGGAGGUGACACCGGUGACAGAAGAGGUGACACCGGUGACCCAGGGGACGUCCCCUUUGGGCUCGGCGGGACGUGGGGUGUCCCCACGGACACGGGAGCUGCCACCUCUGUCACUCCCAGCGUCAUCUCCCCCCCUGGUGGCACUGAUGUCCCCAGCGGUGCCACCAAGGACCCAGGGGACGCAGCCCCCAGAGAUGCCACCACCGUCCCACGCGGUGUCACCUCCGCCGCCGGUGACAUCGGUGUCCCCAGCCCGGACACGAGGGGCACCGCCCCCCAUCCCGCCCCGGGGGGGACAAGGGGGACGAGCCCCCGUGUCCCCAACGCUGACGGUGGCGGGCGCCGAUGUCCCCAAGGUCGGGGGACACGGAGAGGAGGGGGUGGCCCCGGUGGCCCUUGGGGACGUCCCCCCCCAAAAGGGGUCCCCAGGGAUGGCCCCGAGGGGGUCCCCGCUGAUGGCCCCCGAGUGGCACCCAGAGGUGACCCCGAAGGUGACACCGGAGAUGUCCCCAAUGUCCCCAGAGAGGGAGCAGGUGGCCCCAGAGGGCUCCUCGGCGAUGUCCCCAAAGGGGUCCCCACAUCCGUCCCCAGUGUCCCCAAAGGGGUCCCCAUAUCUGUCCCCGAUGUCCCCAAAGGGGUCCCCAUAUCCGUCCCCAAUGUCCCCAAAGGGGUCCCCAUAUGUGACCCCAAUGUCCCCAAAGGGGUCCUCGGAGGUGGCCCCGGCGAUGUCCCCGAUGUCCCCAGAGAAGCCCUUGGAAAUGUCCCCAGAGGGGUCUUCGGAAUUGUCCCCAACGUCCCCAAAGGGACCCCCAGAGGUGGCCCCGGAGAUGUCCCCACGGAGGCGCCCCGUGUCCCCAAAGGGGUCCCCGAAGGCGGCCCCGGAGAUGUCCCCACAGCGCUGUCAAAUGUCCCCAAAUGGCUCCUCGGAAGUGACCCCGAUGUCCCCAAAGGCGGCCGGGGAGAUGUCCCCAGAGAGGGGACACGUGUCCCCAAAUGGCUCCUCGGAAGCGUCCCCGAUGUCCCCAGAGGGGACCCCGGAGAGGCACCACGCGUCCCCAGAGCGCUCCCCAGGGGUCCCCCCCAUGUCCCCGUGUGGGUCCCCGAAAGUGGCCCCGGGGACGUCCCCAAAGGGGACCUCGGCUUUGUCCCCGGUGUCCCCAAAGGGCUCCUCGGAGAUGUCCCCAAGGGGCUCCUCGGAAACGUCUCAGAUGUCCCCAGAGGGGUCCUCGGAGGUGGCCCCGUUGUCCCCAGGGGGCUCCUCGGAGAUGUCCCCAAAUGGGUCCUCAGAAACGUCCCGGAUGUCCCCCAAGGGCUCCUCGGAAACGUCCCCCAAGGGCUCCUCGGAUGUCCCCCCCCCCGGGGCCCCCCCAAACGGGAGCUGGGGGCGGUGCCCCGGCGGGGACCCGGCGCGAUGUCCCCAAGGGUCCCCCCGAAGUUCCCCCGGGCGCUGCCCCGAGAAGUUCCCCAAGGGGUCCCCGAGGCGCUCCCCGAAGGGGUCCCCCCGAAAACCCCCGGACGCGUCCCCAAAGGGCUCCCCAAAGGGCUCCCCAAGACGGCGGCGAGAGACGUCCCCGCGAAGACCCCCGGACGCGUCCCCAAAGGGAUCCCCGCGGCGACGCCGAGAGGGGUCCCCAAAGGGCUCCCCAAGAAGAAGACCCCCCGAGACGCCCCCCAAGGGCUCCCCGAGACGCCGCCGAGAGGCGUCCCCGAGAAGAGCCCCCGAGACGCCCCCAAAGGGGUCCCCCAGGAGACCCCCGGAGCCGUCCCCG